UUCACCGUAUCUAGUUACGGUGUUCGUUGUUCUCGUACUCGUCGUCGUCGUCGUCGUAGUAGUAGUAAUAGUCGUGGUGGUCGGUUGCACACGUGCACACGUGUCCAUUGUAAAACCCGGGUGCUUCACCUGACACGUGCCAAUUUUCAAUUCGCAUACUGGUGUCGAAUGCGUAACUGCUUGACUUUUUGACACGACAUUUUUGUCAAGGAAAACUGGACUUUGCGACACCCGCGAGAAUGCUCAAUGCGUACCAUGCUGGCAAUUACCAUCGCCAUAAUGUUUCGACACGAUUAAUCAUUUUUCUCUUCCACGGAUUUAUUAUAAUUGAUAGAUUUUUAAUGGAUCGAAUUUAAAAAAAAAAAAAAAAAAAACAAAGUCUAAAUAAAAUUGUUAUCACAUGUGAUUAAUAAUAUGCGUACGAUAAGAAA
rnacentral:lncRNA from 1 species